rnacentral:rRNA from 1 species
AACAGGAUUAGAUACCCUGGUAGUCCACGCAGUAAACGAUGAUAACUGGGCGUAUGCGAUAUACAGUAUGCUCCUAAGCGAAAGCGUUAAGUUAUCCACCUGGGGAGUACGCCGGCAACGGUGAAACUCAAAGGAAUUGACGGGGGCCCGCACAAGCGGAGGAACAUGUGGUUUAAUUCGAUGAUACGCGAGGAACCUUACCCGGGACUGAAAUGUAGAUGACCGCUCCUGAAAGGGAGUUUUCCUUCGGGACAUCUAUGUAGGUGCUGCAUGGUUGUCGUCAGCUCGUGCCGUGAGGUGUCGGCUUAAGUGCCAUAACGAGCGCAACCCCUGUCUACGGUUGCCAUCAGGUAAUGCUGGGAACUCCGUAGAGACUGCCGUCGUAAGGCGUGAGGAAGGUGGGGAUGACGUCAAAUCAGCACGGCCCUUACAUCCGGGGCGACACACGUGUUACAAUGGUAAGGACAAAGGGCAGCUACCUGGCGACAGGAUGCGAAUCUCUAAACCUUAUCACAGUUCGGAUCGGAGUCUGCAACUCGACUCCGUGAAGCUGGAUUCGCUAGUAAUCGCGCAUCAGCCAUGGCGCGGUGAAUACGUUCCCGGGCCUUGUACACACCGCCCGUCAAGCCAUGGGAGUCUGGAGUACCUAAAGUCCGUAACCGCAAGGGUCGGCCUAGGGUAAUACAGGUGACUGGGGCUAAGUCGUAACAAGGUAACC